rnacentral:rRNA from 1 species
GAUGAACGCUAGCUACAGGCUUAACACAUGCAAGUCGAGGGGCAGCAUGGGCUUAGCUUGCUAAGCCCGAUGGCGACCGGCGCACGGGUGAGUAACACGUAUCCAACCUUCCGGUAACUCCGGUAUAGCCUUUCGAAAGAAAGAUUAAUCCCGGAUAGUAUGGUGAUUCCGCAUGGUUUCUCCAUUAAAGGAUUCCGGUUACCGAUGGGGAUGCGUUCCAUUAGGCAGUUGGCGGGGUAACGGCCCACCAAACCUACGAUGGAUAGGGGUUCUGAGAGGAAGGUCCCCCACAUUGGAACUGAGACACGGUCCAAACUCCUACGGGAGGCAGCAGUGAGGAAUAUUGGUCAAUGGGCGGAAGCCUGAACCAGCCAAGUAGCGUGAAGGAUGACUGCCCUAUGGGUUGUAAACUUCUUUUAUAAGGGAAUAAUUGUGGGUACGCGUACCCAUUUGCAUGUACCUUAUGAAUAAGGAUCGGCUAACUCCGUGCCAGCAGCCGCGGUAAUACGGAGGAUCCGAGCGUUAUCCGGAUUUAUUGGGUUUAAAGGGAGCGUAGGCGGGCGCUUAAGUCAGCUGUGAAAGUUUGGGGCUCAACCUUAAAAUUGCAGUUGAUACUGGGUGCCUUGAGUGCAGUAUAGGCAGGCGGAAUUCGCGGUGUAGCGGUGAAAUGCUUAGAUAUCACGAAGAACUCCUAUUGCGAAGGCAGCUUGCUGGAGUGUAACUGACGCUGAUGCUCGAAAGUGUGGGUAUCAAACAGGAUUAGAUACCCUGGUAGUCCACACAGUAAACGAUGAAUACUCGCUGUUUGCGAUAUACUGCAAGCGGCCAAGCGAAAGCGUUAAGUAUUCCACCUGGGGAGUACGCCGGCAACGGUGAAACUCAAAGGAAUUGACGGGGGCCCGCACAAGCGGAGGAACAUGUGGUUUAAUUCGAUGAUACGCGAGGAACCUUACCCGGGCUUGAAUUGCAACCGAAUUAUCCGGAAACGGGUAAGCCGCAAGGCGGUUGUGAAGGUGCUGCAUGGUUGUCGUCAGCUCGUGCCGUGAGGUGUCGGCUUAAGUGCCAUAACGAGCGCAACCCUUAUCCACAGUUACCAACAGGUGAUGCUGGGGACUCUGUGGAGACUGCCGUCGUAAGAUGCGAGGAAGGGGGGGAUGACGUCAAAUCAGCACGGCCCUUACGUCCGGGGCUACACACGUGUUACAAUGGGGGGUACAGCAGGCAGCUCGGCGGCGACGCCCGGCCAAUCCCUAAAUCCCCUCUCAGUUCGGACUGGAGUCUGCAACCCGACUCCACGAAGCUGGAUUCGCUAGUAAUCGCGCAUCAGCCACGGCGCGGUGAAUACGUUCCCGGGCCUUGUACACACCGCCCGUCAAGCCAUGAAAGCCGGGGGUACCUGAAGUGCGUAACCGUCCAGGAGCGCCCUAGGGUAAAACCGGUGAUUGGGGCU